rnacentral:rRNA from 1 species
GUUAGCAGAAAGCUUAACACAUGCAAGUCGAAUGUAACUAUUUCGGUAGUUAACAUGGCAAACGGGUGAGUAACACGUGCUUAACCUGCCCUGAAGUAGAGGAUAACUAUAGAAAUAUAGCUAAUCCGCUAUAAUCUCUUAAGAUUGAAAUAUCUAAAGAGAAAAGGAGUAAUCCGCUUUAGGAGGGGGGCGCGGAUCAACAGCUAGUUGGUAAGGUAAUAGCUUACCAAGGCGAUGACGGAUAGCCGGCCUGAGAGGGUGAACGGCCACAACGGGACUGAGACACGGCCCGUACUCCUACGGGAGGCAGCAGUGAGGAAUCUUGGACAAUGGACGAAAGUCUGAUCCAGCUAUUCUGCGUGAAGGAUGAAGCUUUUUGGGGUGUAAACUUCUUUUCUGGAGGAAGACGAAUGACGGUACUUCAGGAAUAAGGGGCGGCUAACUACGUGCCAGCAGCCGCGGUAAUACGUAGGCCCCGAACGUUAUCCGGAGUUACUGGGCGUAAAGGGUCCGUAGCCGGAAAUAUAAGUCUACCUUUAAAGCCUGGAGCUUAACUCCAGACAGGGGGUAGAUACUGUAUAUCUAGAGAUACUAGGAGGUUAGUGGAAUUCCCAGUGGAGCGGUGGAAUGCGUUGAUAUUGGGAAGAACGCCAAAAGUGAAGACAGCUAACUACUUGUAAUCUGACGGUAAGGGACGAAAGCAUAGGUAGCAAACAGGAUUAGAUACCCUGGUAGUCUAUGCUGUAAACGAUGUGUGCUAGGAGUUGGCUUAUAUGUCAGUUCCGAACCUAACGGGAUAAGCACACCGCCUGGGGAGUAUAGCCGCAAGGCCGAAACUCAAAAGGAUAGGCGGGGGAACACACAAGCAGUGGAUUGUCUCGAUUAAUUGGAUAAUAAGCCAAGAAUCUUACCCAGACUUGACAUCCUUAGAAUCUAACCGAAAGGAUAGAGUGCCUAGCUUGCUAGGAGCUAAGUGACAGGUGCUGCAUGGCCGUCGUCAGCUCGUGCCGCA